ACCCCGCACAAGCGGUGGAUCAUGUUGUUUAAUUCGAUGAUACGCGAAGAACCUUACCAGGUCUUGACCAUCCCCCGCAAUGCUAUGGAGACAUAGCGGAGGUAUUCGGGGAGACAGGUGGUGCAUGGUUGUCGUCAGCUCGUGUCGUGAGAUGUUGGGUUAAGUCCCGUAACGAGCGCAACCCUUGUCCUUAGUUACCAGCACGUUAUGGUGGGCACUCUAAGGAGACUGCCGGUGACAAACCGGAGGAAGGUGGGGAUGACGUCAAGUCAUCAUGGCCCUUACGGCCUGGGCUACACACGUGCUACAAUGGUCGGUACAAAGGGUUGCCAAGCCGCGAGGUGGAGCUAAUCCCAUAAAACCGAAUCGUAGUCCGGAUCGCAGUCUGCAACUCGACUGCGUGAAGUCGGAAUCGCUAGUAAUCGUGAAUCAGAAUGUCACGGUGAAUACGUUCCCGGGCCUU
rnacentral:rRNA from 1 species